UGGGGAAUAUUGCACAAUGGGCGCAAGCCUGAUGCAGCCAUGCCGCGUGUGUGAAGAAGGCCUUCGGGUUGUAAAGCACUUUCAGCGGGGAGGAAGGCGAUAAGGUUAAUAACCUUGUCGAUUGACGUUACCCGCAGAAGAAGCACCGGCUAACUCCGUGCCAGCAGCCGCGGUAAUACGGAGGGUGCAAGCGUUAAUCGGAAUUACUGGGCGUAAAGCGCACGCAGGCGGUCUGUCAAGUCGGAUGUGAAAUCCCCGGGCUCAACCUGGGAACUGCAUUCGAAACUGGCAGGCUAGAGUCUUGUAGAGGGGGGUAGAAUUCCAGGUGUAGCGGUGAAAUGCGUAGAGAUCUGGAGGAAUACCAGUGGCGAAGGCGGCUCUCUGGUCUGUAACUGACGCUGAGGCUCGAAAGCGUGGGGAGCAAACAGG
rnacentral:rRNA from 1 species